rnacentral:rRNA from 1 species
AGGGGAUCGCAAGACCUUACGCUUUUGGAGCGGCCGAUGUCUGAUUAGCUUGUUGGUGAGGUAAAGGCUUACCAAGGCUUCGAUCAGUAGCUGGUCUGAGAGGACGACCAGCCACACUGGGACUGAGACUCGGCCCAGACUCCUACGGGAGGCAGCAGUGGGGAAUUUUGGACAAUGGGGGAAAGCCUGAUCCAGCCAUGCCGCGUGAGUGAAGAAGGCCUUCGGGUUGUAAAGCUCUUUCAGCCGGAAAGAAAAGGUUACGAUUAAUAUCGUAUUUAAUGACGGUACCGGAAGAAGAAGCACCGGCUAAUUACGUGCCAGCAGCCGCGGUAAUACGUAGGGUG